GUUGACCUCGGAUCAGGUAGGGAUACCCGCUGAACUUAAGCAUAUCAAUAAGCGGAGGAAAAGAAACCAACAGGGAUUGCCUCAGUAACGGCGAGUGAAGCGGCAACAGCUCAAAUUUGAAAUCUGGCGCAAGCCCGAGUUGUAAUUUGUAGAGGAUGCUUCAGGGCAGCGGCCGGUCUAAGUUCCUUGGAACAGGACGUCAUAGAGGGUGAGAAUCCCGUAUGCGACCGGUUGGCACCCGUCACGUAGCUCCUUCGACGAGUCGAGUUGUUUGGGAAUGCAGCUCUAAAUGGGUGGUAAAUUCCAUCUAAAGCUAAAUACCGGCCAGAGACCGAUAGCGCACAAGUAGAGUGAUCGAAAGAUGAAAAGCACUUUGGAAAGAGAGUUAAAAAGCACGUGAAAUUGUUGAAAGGGAAGCGCAUGCAACCAGACUUGUCGGCGGCGUUCCGCCGGUCUUCUGACCGGUCCACUCGCCGCCGGCAGGCCAGCAUCAUCUGGGCGCGCCGGACAAAGGCGCGGGGAAUGUAGCUCCUCGGAGUGUUAUAGCCCCGCGCACAAUACGGCGCCGCCCGGGUGAGGUCCGCGCUCCGGCUAGGAUGCUGGCGUAAUGGUUGUAUGCGGCCCGUCUUGAAACACGGACCAAGGAGUCUAACAUCUAUGCGAGUGUUCGGGUGUCAAACCCCUGCGCGGAAUGAAAGUGAACGGAGGUGGGAAGCGCAAGCUGCACCAUCGACCGAUCCUGAUGUCUUCGGAUGGAUUCGAGUAAGAGCAUAGCUGUUGGGACCCGAAAGAUGGUGAACUAAACUUGGCCAGAGCGAAGCCAGAGGAAACUCUGGUGGAGGCUCGCAGCGGUUCUGACGUGCAAAUCGAUCGUCAAAGCUGGGUUUAGGGGCGAAAGACUAAUCGAACC
rnacentral:rRNA from 1 species